AAAGUCGUAACAAGGUUUCCGUAGGUGAACCUGCGGAAGGAUCAUUAUCACGUAUCCACGUAUAAACCAUUGUGAACUGUUUUUACCUCUGAUAAGAAUUAGUGUAGGUUUAAGAAAAGGAUUUAUUCUUUUUUUGAACUGAUCUUAUCAGUUGUUAUCACUAAAUUAAUUAACAACUUAAACUCAAUUUUAUAAACUUUGAACUGACUUAUUUCUUACUCUUCGGAGAAGAAAUUCAUUACGAAACAUAAGAACAACUCUUAGCAACGGAUAUCUUGGUUCUC
rnacentral:misc_RNA from 1 species